UACAGAGGGUGCGAGCGUGUUCGGAAUUACUGGGCGUAAAGGGCGCGUAGGCGGCGUGUUAAGUCAGCUGUGAAAUCUCCAGCUUAACUUGGAACGGUCAGCUGAUACUGAUGUGCUAGAGUGCAGAAGGGGCAACCGGAAUUCUUGGUGUAGCGGUGAAAUGCGUAGAUAUCAAGAGGAACACCUGAGGUGAAGACGGGUUGCUGGGCUGACACUGACGCUGAGGCGCGAAAGCUAGGGUAGCAAACGGGG
rnacentral:rRNA from 1 species